rnacentral:piRNA from 1 species
UGUGGGAGAAGUGACCGCAGUCUUCUGCC